GAUCCCAUUCACAAUUGCACCAAGAAGCAUAAAAUACCUAGGAAUAAAUCUAACCAAAGAUGUAAAAGAUGUGUACUCUGAAAACUACAGAACACUUAUGAAAGAACUUAAAGAAGACACAAAGAAAUG